AAAGCCUGACGGAGCAAUACCGCGUGAAGGAUGACGGCCUAUGGGUUGUAAACUUCUUUUCUCAGAGAAGAAUUUUGACGGUAUCUGAGGAAUAAGCAUCGGCUAACUCUGUGCCAGCAGCCGCGGUAAGACAGAGGAUGCAAGCGUUAUCCGGAUUAAUUGGGCGUAAAGCGUCUGUAGGUGGUUUAUCAAGUCUUUUGUCAAAGAUCAGGGCCUAACCCUGGGCAGGCAGAAGAAACUAAUAAACUUGAGUUCGGUAGGGGCAGAGGGAAUUCCCGGUGGAGCGGUGAAAUGCGUAGAGAUCGGGAGGAACACCAAA
rnacentral:rRNA from 1 species